CUUCCGUAGGGUGAACCUGCGGAAGGAUCAUUACCGAGUGAGGGGUCCUCUGGGCCCCAACUCCCAACCUUUGCGUACUUACCCUGUUGCUUUGGCGGGCCAGCGGCCUGAAAACCCGCCGUCGGCUCCGGCUGACGAGCGUCCGCCAGAGGACCUAAAAUCCUAUCUCAUCUGUGUCGUCUGAGCGUAAACUUAAAUAAGUAAAACUUUCAACAAUGGAUCUCUUGGUUCUGGCAUCGAUGAAGAACGCAGCGAAAUGCGAUAAGUAAUGUGAAUUGCAGAAUUCAGUGAAUCAUCGAAUCUUUGAACGCACAUUGCGCCCCUUGGUAUUCCGAGGGGCACGCCUGUUCGAGCGUCAUUACACACCUCAAGCAUCGCUUGGUGUUGGGCCUUCGUCCGCUCGGACGUGCCCGAAACUCCUCGGCGGCGGAGCCUUGCUUCAAGCGUAGUAAAAGAAAUCUUCUCUCGCUUUGGAAGUGGAGGCCUCGCCCGCCGGACGAACCCCAAUCUUCUUCAAGGUUGACCUCGGAUCAGGCGGGGAUACCCGCUGAACUUAAGCAUAUCAAUAAGCGGAG
rnacentral:rRNA from 1 species